rnacentral:rRNA from 1 species
CGUAUGGUGCAAGCGUUAUCCGGAUUUACUGGGUGUAAAGGGUGAGUAGGCGGUCAUGCAAGUCAUAUGUGAAAUGUCAGGGCUUAACCUUGGCGCUGCAUAAGAAACUGUAUGACUAGAGUGCAGGAGAGGUAAGCGGAAUUCCUAGUGUAGCGGUGAAAUGCGUAGAUAUUAGGAAGAACACCGGUGGCGAAGGCGGCUUACUGGACUGUUACUGACGCUGAGUCACGAAAGCGUGGGGAGCAAACAGGAUU